UACAGAGGUCCCGAGCGUUGUUCGGAUUCACUGGGCGUAAAGGGUGCGUAGGUGGUGAGGUAAGUCGGAUGUGAAAUCUCCGGGCUCAACCCGGAAACGGCAUUGGAAACUACCUUGCUAGAGGUGUUGAGGGGGGACUGGAAUUCUCGGUGUAGCAGUGAAAUGCGUAGAUAUCGAGAGGAACACCGGUGGCGAAGGCGAGUCCCUGGAAAACACCUGACACUGAGGCACGAAAGCUAGGGGAGCAAACAGG
rnacentral:rRNA from 1 species